rnacentral:RNase_P_RNA from 1 species
GCUGCAAACGGGUUAUCGUUCGUUUGAUUUUUCGAACGAAAGGAAAGUCCGGACAGUAUAGAGCAACACACCGGUUAAUAGCCGGUCCGGCGCUGAGAUUUCGGUAAACCGGGAAGAUAGUGCCACAGAAAAUUACCGUCCCGAUUUUUAUCGGGAUAAGGGUGAAAACGUGAGGUAAGAGCUCACGAUAAUUACAAGUAAUUGUAAUUAUGGGUAAACCUUGUGUACUGCAAUGCCACGUAAAUCCCGGUAUGUCGCAAGGCAUUAUAAGCUGCUCGUUUAUAUUUCCGCUUUCGCGGAAUAACGGGAAGGGUAGGCAGCAAGAUUGUUGCAGUAAUGCAACAGCCAGAUAAAUGAUAACCGUCCGUCGCCUGGCGGACCACAGAAUCCGGCUUACAUGUUUGCAGUAAUU